rnacentral:rRNA from 1 species
AGUGAACGCUGGCGGCAGGCUUAACACAUGCAAGUCGAGCGCCCCGCAAGGGGAGCGGCAGACGGGUGAGUAACGCGUGGGAAUCUACCGUGCCCUACGGAAUAGCUCCGGGAAACUGGAAUUAAUACCGUAUACGCCCUACGGGGGAAAGAUUUAUCGGGGUAUGAUGAGCCCGCGUUGGAUUAGCUAGUUGGUGGGGUAAAGGCCUACCAAGGCGACGAUCCAUAGCUGGUCUGAGAGGAUGAUCAGCCACAUUGGGACUGAGACACGGCCCAAACUCCUACGGGAGGCAGCAGUGGGGAAUAUUGGACAAUGGGCGCAAGCCUGAUCCAGCCAUGCCGCGUGAGUGAUGAAGGUCUUAGGAUUGUAAAGCUCUUUCACCGGUGAAGAUAAUGACGGUAACCGGAGAAGAAGCCCCGGCUAACUUCGUGCCAGCAGCCGCCGUAA